rnacentral:lncRNA from 1 species
CCCCGCGGCAGCCUCAGCGGCCGCCCCUCCAAUGUUUAUGCGCGUGUCCGGCGACCUGUGUGAGCAUUGCGAGGGCGGCUCCAGCGACCCGCGCGAGCACUUCGAGAGCUGCUCCGAUGGCCGGCUGCAUAGGAGGCAACCAUGGCUCUGGAGGCCUGCACGUGAGCGAGGUGAGGAAAACUACGACAACCUGAUUCGUGGGAGGUGAGCAAGGCUCCUGACGAGGCGAGGGCAACUACGGCAGCCUGAUUGAUAGAUUAGUGUUAUUAAGAUUUAAGAGGAUCAUUUUUGUUCCUUAUUUUUAUAUUUAAAAUACAUGUUACUUGAUGGCUGCCGGAUUUUAGCAUGGUUGAAUAUGUUCAUGACAAUAUUGUGCUCAAGAAAUGUAUCAAGGAUGUCAUUGCAUUAAUCAAACCAGUAGAUGAUUAGUAGCAAAUGGCUAUCCACAAUUUAGGAGCUGAUAAAUUGUAUCACUCUCUUGCUAUCCACAAUGAAGGUAUAAUUUAAAGUUCCAUCUAGAACCCUGAUAGUUAAGGUGCAUUGGUAUCAACUUUGAGCAUACUUUGCCUGCCGUUAAGGUGCACAGCACACUGACAGACAGGAGACUCAAUGAGCUGCUGCAUAAUUCUUGUGAUUUUUUUAAUGCUUUGCUGUGAUUAAAUCUCCAAUUAAUUCAUGCUUUUGUUUUCUUAUAUAUGUGGUCAAGAGCAUAAAGGGGUUGGUGAACGAUGAUAGCCAUGCAUAGGUGGCUCGAGGGACACCGAAAUAUCUUUUUCUUGAACUUAAAACUUCAUGUCUUUUUCUUGAACUUCAGUUCAUUUUGCUGAUGUAUCUGUCUACUUGAUAGUAUAGAUGGCAUUCUUUGAUUCCUUGGCUGCUACUGUUUUUGAAAAUUGACCAGAAUUGUUCUUUCAUUCUUGAAGCAGCGGCAUGAAUUUGUGAAUACAUUUGGUCUACCAUUUAUUCCUUGACUUGAUUCCCUUGUAGGUGCCAACAUGCAAGCACUUCAAUCUCUUACUUAUGAAAUGAAAGGUGGAAGCAAAGCCGUGUUAGCAAUGAAUAAGAUAUGUUGGAAGACACCAUAUUUGUUGUUGGUCAGUAUCAACACAUCCUCUUAAGAAAUUGUUUCUGUUUAAUAAAUUUUUGACUGUCUUCUAAGUGAGCUUCUAUAUUUCAGUGCACACUCAGAAAUAGAACCAAUCAAAGAGGUAAAGGUCAUGAAAGAAUUUCAGAAGCACUCAACUAAGCUGGACAUGGUAAUAAUAUUGAGACCUUGCUGACUUUUUUUACUUCAAAAUUCAAAGCUGGAACUCUUCUGUUGUCGGUGCAUUGCAUUAUAAAAAUAUCCAACUAUGUAUGGGGCUUCAAGUUCAUUCUCUUGUAUGAAUAUGAAAGGUUGAUAUCAGCUCAUAAAUAUUUUUCCGUCAUUUCGCUCCAUUAAAAUCCUUCUCUCAUGUCAAUUCAAAUAAGAACAGUUGCAUUGUCGUAAUGCUUUUUUGCAAGAUCCAAGCAUAUUUUCUGUUUCCAAACGACCAUACCAUUCUAAAUAUGUGUUUCCUUAGAGAUAUGCCUAUUUAGUUUGGUCAGAUUAAUCCACGUUUGGUGCAAAGGUUCUUAUUUUGUUCUUCCAUUCAAAGAUUUAGAAGUAAUGUUGGAUUCAGAAAUUUUACAUAUAUAUCUUAAAAUUCAGAAAAUGUUGAUUUCAAAAUUUAGAAGAUAUAAGAACUUACUCUUGCAUGCAUGUAUGUAAACUAUCCAUGUUUUAGUAACUCCUGGAACCUGGAUGUAAAAAGGAGUGGGGAGCAACUGUAUUUGGUUACUUGAUUAUUGCCAACAAACCCACACUAAUCCUCCAUUUGUUGGUUUAAUCAAUUCUUUGCUUACUUGAAUUCACAAAUCACAAAGGAAAAAAAACGUACUUUUGGGUGUACCUCUCUGGUCUCUGCAGUUCCAUAAGUUUUUGAGAGUCUAAUUGUCCUCAGUUCUGUAGGAGCAUGCGGAGUUUCUGCAUCCAGCAUUGAAAUCUUCGCCACCUGUUACCCAAGCUUCUGUUGAUCCAGGUGAGUCUCGCUGCCAUUACCAUUUGGUUUGAGCCCCUUAAGCCCUUAUAUUUUGUUGAUAAAUGAAUAAUAGUGAAUAGUCAAUUUCAUUUUGUCUCAACCUAAAAUUGCUUGCUCUAUAGAGAAUAGUUCAGCAAAUUGUUCAUCACUGAUAGCAAACUUAGUUUUAUUUAAUGACUGAGCACACCACAAUACAGUUUGUCAAAUUGUUCUUUUGCCUUCGGUUCUGUUUUUGGGCUUCCAUGCUGCA